rnacentral:rRNA from 1 species
UUGUGCCUACGGGGGGCAGCAGUGGGGAAUAUUGCACAAUGGGCGAAAGCCUGAUGCAGCAACGCCGCGUGAAGGAAGAAGGGUUUCGGCUCGUAAACUUCUAUCAACAGGGACGAAAGAAAUGACGGUACCUGAAUAAGAAGCCCCGGCUAACUACGUGCCAGCAGCCGCGGUAAUACGUAGGGGGCAAGCGUUAUCCGGAUUUACUGGGUGUAAAGGGAGCGUAGACGGAAAGGCAAG